AGUCACUGACAUUAGAUACCCCUGUAGUCCAGGGUGUAAACGCUGCAGACUUGGUGUUGGAGGCCCUUUGGGGGCAUUCAGUGCCGGAGAGAAGUUGUUAAGUCUGCUACUUGGGAGUACGUCCGCAAGGAUGAAACUUAAAAGAAUUGGCGGGGGAGCACCGCAACGGGAGGAGCGUGCGGUUUAAUUGGAUUCAACACCGUAAACUCACCAGGGAAGACUGUUACAUGAAGGCCGAGAUGAAGACUCUGCUAGAUUUUCAG
rnacentral:rRNA from 1 species